rnacentral:rRNA from 1 species
UAGAGGGAAUAUUGCACAAUGGGGGAAACCCUGAUGCAGCAACGCCGCGUGAGCGAUGAAGGCCUUCGGGUUGUAAAGCUCUGUCUUCUGUGACGAUAAUUGCCGUUUCCCAAGGAGGAAGCCCCGGCUAUCUCCUGGCCAGCAGCCCCGGUAAUAUAAA